AUUCAACUGACGAGUGCUAAAUAGGACGAAACGUGCGUCUUGGAU
rnacentral:hammerhead_ribozyme from 1 species